rnacentral:rRNA from 1 species
UCGGCCACACUGGAACUGAGACACGGUCCAGACUCCUACGGGAGGCAGCAGUAGGGAAUCUUCCGCAAUGGGCGAAAGCCUGACGGAGCAACGCCGCGUGAGUGAUGAAGGUCUUCGGAUCGUAAAACUCUGUUAUUAGGGAAGAACAUAUGUGUAAGUAACUGUGCACAUCUUGACGGUACCUAAUCAGAAAGCCACGGCUAACUACGUGCCAGCAGCCGCGGUAAUACGUAGGUGGCAAGCGUUAUCCGGAAUUAUUGGGCGUAAAGCGCGCGUAGGCGGUUUUUUAAGUCUGAUGUGAAAGCCCACGGCUCAACCGUGGAGGGUCAUUGGAAACUGGAAAACUUGAGUGCAGAAGAGGAAAGUGGAAUUCCAUGUGUAGCGGUGAAAUGCGCAGAGAUAUGGAGGAACACCAGUGGCGAAGGCGACUUUCUGGUCUGUAACUGACGCUGAUGUGCGAAAGCGUGGGGAUCAAACAGGAUUAGAUACCCUGGUAGUCCACGCCGUAAACGA